GCCUGGGUGGCUCAGUCGGUUGAGCGUCCGACUUCAGCUCAGGUCACGAUCUCAUGGUUCGUGAGUUCGAGCCCCACGUCAGGCU
rnacentral:tRNA from 1 species